rnacentral:rRNA from 1 species
UGAGCAACCUACCCUCAGCUUCGGGAUAAGCCUCGGAAGCGGGGUCUAAUACCGGAUAUCACUUCGAAUCUCAUGGUUCGGGGUUGAAAGUUCUGGCGGUUGGGGGAUGGGCUCGCGGCCUAUCAGCUUGUUGGUGGGGUAAUGGCCUACCAAGGCGUCGACGGGUAGCCGGCCUGAGAGGGCGACCGGCCACACUGGGACUGAGACACGGCCCAGACUCCUACGGGAG